GAUCUGGCUCAGGACGAACGCUGGCGGCGUGCCUAAUACAUGCAAGUAGAACGCUGAAGGAGAAGCUUGCUUCUCUGGAUGAGUUGCGAACGGGUGAGUAACGCGUAGGUAACCUGCCUGGUAGCGGGGGAUAACUAUUGGAAACGAUAGCUAAUACCGCAUAAUAGUAGAUGUUGCAUGACAUUUGCUUAAAAGGUGCAAUUGCAUCACUACCAGAUGGACCUGCGUUG
rnacentral:rRNA from 1 species